rnacentral:rRNA from 1 species
AAUCAGUUAUGGUUCCUUAGAUCGUUCAUACUACAUGGAUAACUGUGGUAAUUCUAGAGCUAAUACAUGCAAAAAGCUCCGACCGUAUGGGAAGAGCGCUUUUAUUAGACCAAAACCAAUGGGGUCGCAAGAUCCCUUUGUAUGGUGACUCUGGAUAACUUUGUGCUGAUCGCAUGGCCUAGAGCCGGCGACGUAUCUUUCAAGUGUCUGCCCUAUCAACUUUCGAUGGUAAGCGAUUUGCCUACCAUGGUUGUAACGGGUAACGGGGAAUCAGGGUUCGAUUCCGGAGAGGGAGCAUGAGAAAUGGCUACCACAUCUACGGAAGGCAGCAGGCGCGCAAAUUACCCACUCCUAGAACGGGGAGGUAGUGACGAAAAAUAACAAUACCGGACUCAAUGAGGCUCGGUAAUUGAAAUGAGUACAGUUUAAAACCCUUAACGAGGAUCUAUUGGAGGGCAAGUCUGGUGCCAGCAGCCGCGGUAAUUCCAGCUCCAAUAGCGUAUAUUAAAGUUGUUGCAGUUAAAAAGCUCGUAGUUGGAUCUCGGGUACUAGCAUGUGGUACGCUUAACUGCUGUUACUACAUGUCUGGUCCUAAUCAACCGGUUGGCCGUUGAUGCCCUUUAUUGGGUGUUUUCGGUAGCCGGUACGUUUACUUUGAGAAAAUUAGAGUGCUUAAAGCAGGCCUUACGCCUGAAUAAUGUUGCAUGGAAUAAUAGAAUAGGACCUCGGUUCUAUUUUGUUGGUUUUGUAGAGCAUUGAGGUAAUGAUUAAUAGGGACAGACGGGGGCAUUCGUAUUGCGGUGUUAGAGGUGAAAUUC